GACGAACGCUGGCGGCGUGCUUAAUACAUGCAAGUCGAACGGAAAGGCUCUGCUUUUGCUGGCUGCUCGAGUGGCGAACGGGUGAGUAACACGUGAGUAACCUGCCCUUGACUUUGGGAUAACUUCGGGAAACUGGGGCUAACACCGGAUAGGACCUCCUGCUGCUUGUUGUGGGUUGGAAAGUUUCGGAGGUAGGGGAUGGACUCGCGGCUUAUCAGCUCGUUGGUGGGGUAGUGGCUUACCAAGGCUUUGACGGGUCGCCGGCCCGAGAGGGUGACCGGGCACAUGGGGACUGAGGGACGGCCCAGACUGCUACGGGAGGCAGCAGUGGGGAAUAUGGCACAGUGGGCGGAAGCGUGAUGAAGCGGCGCCGCGUGCGGGAUGACGGCCUUCGGGUGGUGAACCGCUUUGGCCGGGGACGGAGCGUGAGGGGCGGUAAUGGGUAAAGAAGCACCGGCUAACUACGGG
rnacentral:rRNA from 1 species